AUUGAACGCUGGCGGCAGGCCUAACACAUGCACGUCGAACGAGUGGCGGACGGGUGAGUAAUGUCUGGGAAACUGCCUGAUGGAGGGGGAUAACUACUGGAAACGGUAGCUACUACCGCAUACCAUCAGAGCUGCCCAGAUGGGAAUAGCGAGUUGGUGGGGUAACGGCUCACCAAGGAGACGAUCCCUAGCUGGCCUGGGAGGAUGACAGGCCACACUGGAACUGAGACACUGUCCAGACUCCUAAGCGAGGCAGCAGUGGGGAAUAUUGCACAAUGGGCGCAAGCCUGAUGCAGCCAUGCCGAGUGUAUGAAGAAGGCCUUCGGGUUGUAAAGUACUUUCAGCGGGGAAGCGUUACCCGCAGAAGAAGCACCGGCUAACUCCGUGCCAGCAGCCGCGGUAAUAC
rnacentral:rRNA from 1 species